GGUUUUUGCAACAAAAUCUAGCAAAUUUAAGCUCUUUGCUUGACAGUGGGCAAGAAAUCUCUCAUUUGAGCAAAAUCUUCCACACUGGAAGACAACCCUUUACAAAACUUAAGCUUGCAAGCUUCUAAGAUCUCGUAAACCAAGAAAUUAAGAACAAUACUGCGAGUUACAAAUCAGAAGAUACCCUUUUCAAGAUUUACUCAAACAAGGUCACCAAGUUGCUCUAAAUCAAGAAAAAGAUAGCCACUUUAAUGUGAAAACAAAGAACAACUUAGAUUUUUUGAGUUCA
rnacentral:misc_RNA from 1 species